rnacentral:sRNA from 1 species
GUUUGGUUGAUCAUGGUUCGGGUUUUAGUUCUUGGGACCCAAAGUUGCAACUAAUAAUAUGCAACUUAGAAGUUGUUACACGACCUCCAAUUAAAAGCACUGAGGUAAAAAAGAAGAAACCUAAAAAAUCCAGCGGUGCUUCUUCUGGAAAGGGAAAAGGAAAGGGAAAGUGGAAGACUGUAAGCACCAUUGCAAAAUAUUUCUCACUUUCUGUCACAAAUAUAGCUUUGAAGACACCUAAAUUUAGUGUUGAAAUUGGGAAGUUGAAUGUGGACAUAUCUAAAGAGGCUGGAAGCGAGUCAGAUUUGGUAGUUAGGGUUCAAAUACUACCCAUUCUCUUUAACAUUAUUGAGCCUCAAGAUAGUAAUCAAGUAUCGGAUUCUAGUGGUGGAGGAAGCAAUCCUUCUGUCCAAGCAACUGUUGCUUCUACUGAAAAGACUUGUGCUA